GACGUUGUGGUGUAACAGUUAGCACAGUCGGCACGUAUUCGAAAGGUCCAGGUUCGAGUCCUGGCGAUGGCA
rnacentral:tRNA from 1 species